rnacentral:rRNA from 1 species
AACGAACGCUGGCGGCGUGCUUAACACAUGCAAGUCGAACGGGAUUGGAAGCUUGCUUCCAUGAGAGUGGCGCACGGGUGAGUAACGCGUGGAUAACCUGCCCUGGUAUCUGGAAUAACAUCUCGAAAGGGGUGCUAAUACCGGAUAAGCUCACGACCCCUUCGGGAGAUGCGAGACAAGGUGGCCUCUGAAUACGCUACCGUAUCUGGAUGGGUCCGGGUACCAUUAGCCAGUUGGUGGGGUAAUGGCCUACCAAGGCUACGAUGGUUAGCUGGUCUGAGAGGAUGAUCAGCCACACUGGAACUGAGACACGGUCCAGACUCCUACGGGAGGCAGCAGUGGGGAAUUUUGCGCAAUGGGGGAAACCCUGACGCAGCAACGCCGCGUGAGUGAUGAAGGCCUUCGGGUCGUAAAGCUCUGUCAGAGGGGAAGAAGUGUAGUGUGGUUAAUACCCACAUUACUUGACGGUACCCUCAAAGGAAGCACCGGCUAACUCCGUGCCAGCAGCCGCCGUAACAC